UGUCUCUUUGAAGGCAAAGGUUGUCUAGGUU
rnacentral:piRNA from 1 species